rnacentral:rRNA from 1 species
UCAAAAACAUCGCCUCUUGCAAAAUUAACAAAUAAGAGGUCCCGCCUGCCCUGUGACUAUAUGUUUAACGGCCGCGGUAUUUUGACCGUGCAAAGGUAGCGCAAUCACUUGUCUUUUAAAUGGAGACCCGUAUGAAUGGCACAACGAGGGCUUAACUGUCUCCUCUUUCAAGUCAAUGAAAUUGAUCUCCCCGUGCAGAAGCGGGGAUAGACACAUAAGACGAGAAGACCCUGUGGAGCUUUAGGCACUAAAGCAGAACAUGUUAAGUGCCCCUGACCAACGGCCAAAACAACUUGCACCCUGCCCUAAUGCCUUCGGUUGGGGCGACCGCGGGGAAAUGAAAAACCCCCAUGCAGAAUGGGAGGACACCUCCUACAACUAAGAGCUCCUGCUCUAAUUAACAGAACCUCUGACUAUACAAGAUCCGGCAGUGCCGAUUAACGAACCAAGUUACCCCAGGGAUAACAGCGCAAUCCCCUUUUAGAGCCCAUAUCGACAAGGGGGUUUACGACCUCGAUGUUGGAUCAGGACAUCCUAAUGGUGCAGCCGCUAUUAAGGGUUCGUUUGUUCAACGAUUAAAGUCCUACGUGAUCUGAG